rnacentral:tRNA from 1 species
CGCGGGGUAGAGCAGCCCGGUAGCUCGCGAGGCUCAUAACCUCGAGGUCGCAGGUUCAAAUCCUGUCCCCGCCA